CCUACGGGAGGCAGCAGUGGGGAAUAUUGGACAAUGGGGGCAACCCUGAUCCAGCCAUGCCGCGUGUGUGAAGAAGGCCCUCGGGUUGUAAAGCACUUUCAGUGAGGAAGAACGCCUGGUGGUUAAUACCCAUCAGGAAAGACAUCACUCACAGAAGAAGCACCGGCUAACUCCGUGCCAGCAGCCGCGGUAAUACGGAGGGUGCGAGCGUUAAUCGGAAUUACUGGGCGUAAAGCGCGCGUAGGUGGCUUGAUAAGCCGGUUGUGAGAGCCCCGGGCUCAACCUGGGAACGGCAUCCGGAACUGUCAAGCUAGAGUGCAGGAGAGGAAGGUAGAAUUCCCGGUGUAGCGGUGAAAUGCGUAGAGAUCGGGAGGAAUACCAGUGGCGAAGGCGGCCUUCUGGACUGACACUGACACUGAGGUGCGAAAGCGUGGGUAGCAAACAGGAUUAGAUACCCUUGUAGUC
rnacentral:rRNA from 1 species